rnacentral:lncRNA from 1 species
CGGCACAUUUCCCAGCCUAGCCCUUACAUGUAGGACUUAUGGCGCCAAUUGGCACCAAGUACAUGGAGGAACCUCAAGGCCUAGGCAGACCAAGACUGGUCAUUCACAACCAUCCAAGCCGGCCCAAACGGAGACCCCAGAUAUGGUGGAGCAAAGAGCAGAACCUCAGAAGUAUGGACUCAGCACCAUGAGGGCCAUGGUGAGAACUGGGAUGUCUGAGUGAAGAUGCUGCCUCUCUCACUUUUGAGGAUAGGGAGGCCAGUUCUCUCUCCACGGAACGGAGCCAAGGACUCUGCAGCUGCUCUAUGAUUGUGUGGAGACUGGAUGGUCAACUCACUCUUUGGAGAAGACUCAAAGAAGAGAGCACUUUUCUCACUUCAGCCAGGCAUCAGUUUCUGGCUACUCCAUACAUUAAAAGGUGACGUUAACAUG